GUAGAAGUCUGACAAAUUUUUGAGAGCUGUCCAUCCACCUUCAUGUAUGAGUAGAUUGUGUCACAAUCUUGGGGCCCUUUUCUAGUAUUUCCAGAUCUGUGCAAUGUAGAACUUGAGCUCCCACCUUGUUGAAAUUUACUAAGGCUCCCCAGUAAGUCCUUUUUAAAAUCAUUAAGUACUUCUUGUAACCGGUUCUCAAUUCUAAUUUCCAAUGCUUCCAUUUGUGCUUUCACUGAGUUAUCGGUGGCCAUUUCGUAAGACUACAAAUCUGUAAUCUCAACUCCUAUUUUU
rnacentral:lncRNA from 1 species